GGAUGCGAUCAUACCAGCACUAACGCACCGGAUCCCAUCAGAACUCCGAGGUUAAGCGUGC
rnacentral:rRNA from 1 species